GUUGGGGGGGACAUAACAGUUUUUUCACUCUUGUUAAUUUUCUGUUGAUUCCAUCUAUCCUUAAUCUUCAUUAUGAACAAUACACCAGGUUUUCUUCUGAAGAUCAAAUGUGGUAGUGAGGCAAUAAUGCAAAGACAUAGGAUGGCAGGGGGAUUCCGGCUUCUUUCUUUUUUCCCCUCCUGCGGAAAGAGGGUCUACAACACUCUGUAGUAGAGAAGACAAUUCUAAUUAUGAAGGGUAAUUAGCUAGGCUCUGCUACAAAGCCCUGAAAGAUUCCUCAACGCGGGCUGCUUUUCUCUUCCUCUCCACCAGAGGCGACAGCCUCUUUCCAAACAGAAACUGGGUUGGAAUAGGCCGGUCCGGGGGAACAGCCAGAAGAAAGAUCAAAGGCUAAAAACCGCCUCAAAGAGCAAAGGUCAAUACCCAACUCCUAAGCAGGCCUUAAGCUUUCAUCUGCCACGAAACAUGAAGGUGACUCCUCCCAACAUCGAGACCUGGGGGCCACUCAGCCUUUCAGAGACCCGGCGGGUCCGAGGCGAGUAACAGGUAACACCGGCUGAGCCGCCGCCGACCGGAAGUGGAAGAGAGCCUGGGGCGGGGUGAGGACAGGCCGCAGCACGCCUGCGCAGUCAGCAAGAGUUGCAGCGCUCAUGCGCAGCUGGGCGGUGACAGGGUGACGCUCGGAGCGUGGGCCGCGACUCUCACGGAUCCGGUUCCGCCCUCUCGCUGCCGAUCCUUCGGAGCGAGCGCCUGAGAUCCCUUUCCCAGAGUGCUCUGCGCCGUGAAGAAGCGGCUCCCGGGGACUGGGGGCAUUUUGUGUUGGCUGGAGCUGGAGUAACAAGAUGGCGUCGUCGGCGGAGUGACAGGGGUCCUUCUGGGCCGGAGCCGGCGGCAGUGGUGGCAGCGGUAUCGCCGCCCUACCUCACCGCGCCCCUUUUCCAGCCCGCGACGUCGCCGCGCAAGCGAGGCAGCGGCGGCCGCCGAGAAACAAGUGGCCCAGCCUGGUAACCGCCGAGAAGCCCUUCACAAACUGCGGCCUGGCAAAAAGAAACCUGACUGAGCGGCGGUAAUCAGGCUCCCCUCGGCUGAUUCUGGGCCCCGAACGCCGGUAAAGGCCUCCGUGUUCCGUUUCCUGCCGCCUUCCUCCGUAGCCUUGCCUAGUGUAGGAGCCCCAGAGGCCUCCGUCCUCUUCCCAGAGGUGUCGGGGCUUGGCCCCAGCCUCCAUCUUCGUCUCUCAGGAUGGCGAGUAGCAGCGGCUCCAAGGCCGAAUUCAUUGUCGGAGGGAAAUAUAAACUGGUACGGAAGAUCGGGUCUGGCUCCUUCGGGGACAUCUAUUUGGCGAUCAACAUCACCAACGGCGAGGAAGUGGCAGUGAAGCUAGAAUCUCAGAAGGCCAGGCAUCCCCAGUUGCUGUACGAGAGCAAGCUCUAUAAGAUUCUUCAAGGUGGGGUUGGCAUCCCCCACAUACGGUGGUAUGGUCAGGAAAAAGACUACAAUGUACUAGUCAUGGAUCUUCUGGGACCUAGCCUCGAAGACCUCUUCAAUUUCUGUUCAAGAAGGUUCACAAUGAAAACUGUACUUAUGUUAGCUGACCAGAUGAUCAGUAGAAUUGAAUAUGUGCAUACAAAGAAUUUUAUACACAGAGACAUUAAACCAGAUAACUUCCUAAUGGGUAUUGGGCGUCACUGUAAUAAGUGUUUAGAAUCUCCAGUGGGGAAGAGGAAAAGAAGCAUGACUGUUAGUACUUCUCAGGACCCAUCUUUCUCAGGAUUAAACCAGUUAUUCCUUAUUGAUUUUGGUUUGGCCAAAAAGUACAGAGACAACAGGACAAGGCAACACAUACCAUACAGAGAAGAUAAAAACCUCACUGGCACUGCCCGAUAUGCUAGCAUCAAUGCACAUCUUGGUAUUGAGCAGAGUCGCCGAGAUGACAUGGAAUCAUUAGGAUAUGUUUUGAUGUAUUUUAAUAGAACCAGCCUGCCAUGGCAAGGGCUAAAGGCUGCAACAAAGAAACAAAAAUAUGAAAAGAUUAGUGAAAAGAAGAUGUCCACGCCUGUUGAAGUUUUAUGUAAGGGGUUUCCUGCAGAAUUUGCGAUGUACUUAAACUAUUGUCGUGGGCUACGCUUUGAGGAAGCCCCAGAUUACAUGUAUCUGAGGCAGCUAUUCCGCAUUCUUUUCAGGACCCUGAACCAUCAAUAUGACUACACAUUUGAUUGGACAAUGUUAAAGCAGAAAGCAGCACAGCAGGCAGCCUCUUCCAGUGGGCAGGGUCAGCAGGCCCAAACCCCCACAGGAACGUGCUGGUCACUCAGCAGCACACCCACAUCACAGGGGAAGAUCUUGAAAUACCUGGACAGUCUGAACACGCUGCUCUGAAUACACUCAAUUCUAAGAAGUACCAGGGAACCGCAUCUUCUUGCUGAAAUCUUGAAUUUUUGUCAGCUUUUUUUUUUUUUUUUUACUGUGGACAGUAAAGCUGGAAAGAUCUAAAUAACCCAACAGGAAAUGCCGAUGAAGGUGCAAGAGUUGGUUUGUGGUCAUCUGGAGUCCAUGUCUCCAAGACUGCUGGACCUUCAAAUUCUGCAACUUGUUAGAUCAUCUGGAUGAUAGCACAACUGUUAGAAGACCUAGAAGAAUACAGCAUUGCUGUGACUCGGUGAUGAAUGCAGACCAUCUACCAGCUGGGGAAAGAAUCAAUUAUAAACAGGAAAAGGGAUUCAUUCCUCAUUUUAACUGAUGUUACAGUGAAGAUGGGUUCUUGAACUCUUGGAAGCCUGGAUAAGCCACCUAAUCCGCAAGAUAAAAACCAAAGACUAAUAUUGGGGAAAAGAAUGCUUAGUACUUGAAGACUGAAUGUUGAAUACCUGUUGAAUAUUCCUAUUGAGGUUUUUUCCUAAAUAUACUUCAGUAACAUCUUAGGACAAUUCACUGGAGAAAUGUUGAUCCCUGGCUGGAAUGUCAUACCAUUGACCCAUCUGAAGAGUUAAAGCUGGAUUUGACUGCUCUUUUCUACCAAGAAUAUUGUUAGGGUAGCCUUUUACCAGUUUCUAAACAAUUGUAAUCAUUUAUUGACUCAGCAAUUCCUCAGAUAACAGGUCAAAAGAUGUACAGAUAUAUUCUAAAGUUUUCCUGUUAUUAAAGGCACAAGAGUUUCCUUGUAUUUUGACUGACAAUGUAGCAUGUUUCCAUUUUAGUUUGUUAGUGAUGGUGGUUUUCCCUCUGAAAGCCAUUUGGUGUAUUCACCAUAACAAUUAGUUUAACAUGAUUACAUAAGAAAACUAUGAUAAAACCCAGCAAUUUUAGUAGUUGUGAAAAUACGUUUUUUAAAUCAUGUUUAAGAAGAAUUGCAGGACUUGAAACCAAAUCCUGAUGGGGGAAUUCUGUUUAAUCCUGUUUAAUCUGUUUAAUUUCUGUUCAAUCCUUAGUUUCUUAACCUGCAUAGCUUAUCCUAUAUUGUACUUUCUUUCUUUUUUAAACUCCCAAACAAGAAGCUUGAAAUGUUUCCUGUAUUUUAAAAUUGAAAUUUGGUCACAGGGUAUAGUCAGAUUUUUAUUAAGGUUUGGUUUGACAACCUUUAAAAGAAAGGUUAAAAGAAAGGUUUACCUCGCUAAUACUUCUUAAUAACAUGCAUCAAAUGAUAUUCCCUAUGGUGAAGUAUAUUCUCAAAGUUUUGUUAUCUUUCAUUUUUGGCAUUUGCUGCUUAUGGACUUAGUACCCAGGCAACAAAGAUCUAUUAUGCACCUACUCUGUUGUAUGUUUGCUGUUAUUCCCCCCCCCCCAAAAAAAGAGCAUAUAUGCAUAAGAAAUAAAUAUUAGAAUUAUUUUGUUUCUCCCACAAAGCCCAUGGGAGAUGGCCCAACAAAUGUUUAAAAAGUAAAAGAGGUCAGGCACGGUGUCUCCCACCUGUAACCCCCACACUUUGGGAGGCCAUGGCGGGUGGAUCACGAGGUCAGGAGUUUGAGACCAGCCUGGCCAACACAGUGAAACCGUGUCUCUACUAUAAAUACAAAAAUUAGCCAGGCAUGGUGGCAGGCACCUGUAGUCCCAGCUACUCAGGAGGCUGAGGCAGGAGAAUCGCUUGAACCCAGGAGGCAGAGGUUGCAGUGAGCCAAGAUCAUGCCACUGCCCUCCAACCUGGGUGACAGAGCGAGACUCUGUCUCCAAAAAAAGAAAAAAGAACUAAAAAGAAAGGAGCAGUUUAUGAUUGAAGGAAACAUGACCUGGGCUGAAAAAGUGAGGAUUGAUUGGAGUGGGCUAGAACGAGCUAUAGUUUCUAGCUCAUUUGUAAGGAGGUAGACAAAGGGGCAUUGGUGCCUCAGAGUGGGUGUCUGGUGAGAGGAAAAACGGUGCUUGAGAGAUUUUCAGGCUAUUGCUGUUGGACAGGCAUAUUUUCUCCCUUUGCCUUUAGCUGUAGAUAAAGUGUGGUUAUGACCUGAGGCUUCUUGUAUUCAAACUUGGCCUAGGGCCUAUGUAGAGGCCCUAGGGUCUACUUGGGGUGGAGGAGGGAAGUAUUUGUAGAAUGUGUAGGCUUGAGAAGUAAAUAAAGCCAAAAAAGCAUCACUUGCUUACAUUUUUAAAUGAGUCAUAAAACAAUCUUUCUAAUGCGGCUGGUAAAGAAGUUUUAAAGGUCUAUCCAAGGUUUCUCUACAGAAAUUACAUGCUUCUCAAGUCUUUAGUAAAAUAAUACAGAUAAUUAUGCCUUGAAUGCAUUUAUUAUUAAAGUUUACCGUUUUAAUUUGUGUCUGAAAUAAUUUGUGCUCAUGGUAGGAUUAAAAUUGUAUUCUUUAGUUAAAGCAAAGCAAUCUGUUUUUCAUUGAUUUGAUAAAUAUGUGAAUGCCUAAUAUGUUCUGGGUACUAAAAAUGCAGAAACAUGCUCAUUUGAAUUACUAAUAAUUAUUUUAGUAUGCUGAGAGGCUUUGAAUUCACUGUACCCCUCCUUCCUAGAGUCAUUCAAAACAGAAAAAAUUAGUUUUAAGUAUAGAUUCAUGUUUUUCUGUUUUAAAAAGUUGAGCUAAUACGUUUCACAAGAGACGAAAUAACAUGAGCCACUAUAAUUAUUGGCUCAGUUCCACCCAAUUUCCAUAUUUUGGGUGUAAUUUAAAAUUUUUAACUUGGAAUUUUAACUUUUUUUUUUUUGUUUUGAUUUUUUACCAGGUUUCUAAGCAUGAACUGAGGAACAGAAGAAGCAGAGCAGAUGAUCGGAGCAGCAUUUGUUUCUCCCCAAAUCUAGAAAUUUUAGUUCAUAUGUACACUAGCCAGUGGUUGUGGACAACCAUUUACUUGGUGUAAAGAACUUAAUUUCAGUAUAAACUGACUCUGGGCAGCAUUGGUGAUGCUGUAUCCUGAGUUGUAGCCGCUGUAAUUGUGAAUAUUAACUGAGAUAGUGAAACAUGGUGUUCGGUUUUCUAUUGCAUUUUUUCAAGUGGAAAAGUUAACUAAAUGGUUGACACACAAAAAUUGGUGGAGAAAUUGUGCAUAUGCCAAUUUUUUGUUAAAACCUUUUGUUUUGAACUAUACUGCUUUGAGAUCUCAUUUCAGAAGAACGGCAUGAACAGUCUUCAGCCACAGUUGUGAUGGUUGUAAAUGCUCACAAUUGUGCAUUCUUAGGGUUUUUCCAUCCCUGGGGUUUGCAAGUUGUUCACUUAAAACAUUCUUAAAAUGGUUGGCUUCUUGUCUGCAAGCCAGCUGAUAUGGUAGCAACCAAAGAUUCCAGUGUUUGAGCAUAUGAAAGACUCUGCCUGCUUAAUUGUGCUAGAAAUAACAGCAUCUAAAGUGAAGACUUAAGAAAAACUUAGUGACUACUAGAUUAUCCUUAGGACUCUGCAUUAACUCUAUAAUGUUCUUGGUAUUAAAAAAAGAAAAGCAUAUUUGUCACAGAAAUUUAGUUAACAUCUUACAACUGAACAUGUAUGUAUGUUGCUUAGAUAAAUGUAAUCACUGUAAACAUCUAUAUGAUCUGGGAUUUUGUUUUUAUUUUGAAAUGGGAGCUUUUUUGUUUACAAGUUCAUUAAAAACUAAAAACUUUCUGUAA